AGAGUUUGAUCCUGGCUCAGGAUGAACGCUGGCGGCGUGCCUAAUACAUGCAAGUCGAGCGAACGGACGAGAAGCUUGCUUCUCUGAUGUUAGCGGCGGACGGGUGAGUAACACGUGGAUAACCUACCUAUAAGACUGGGAUAACUUCGGGAAACCGGAGCUAAUACCGGAUGAUAUUUUGAACCGCAUGGUUCAAAAGUGAAAGACGGUCUUGCUGUCACUUAUAGAUGGAUCCGCGCUGCAUUAGCUAGUUGGUAAGGUAACGGCUUACCAAGGCAACGAUGCAUAGCCGACCUGAGAGGGUGAUCGGCCACACUGGAACUGAGACACGGUCCAGACUCCUACGGGAGGCAGCAGUAGGGAAUCUUCCGCAAUGGGCGAAAGCCUGACGGAGCAACGCCGCGUGAGUGAUGAAGGUCUUCGGAUCGUAAAACUCUGUUAUUAGGGAAGAACAUAUGUAUAAGUAACUGUGCACAUCUUGACGGUACCUAAUCAGAAAGCCACGGCUAACUACGUGCCAGCAGCCGCGGUAAUACGUAGGUGGCAAGCGUUAUCCGGAAUUAUUGGGCGUAAAGCGCGCGUAGGCGGUUUUUUAAGUCUGAUGUGAAAGCCCACGGCUCAACCGUGGAGGGUCAUUGGAAACUGGAAAACUUGAGUGCAGAAGAGGAAAGUGGAAUUCCAUGUGUAGCGGUGAAAUGCGCAGAGAUAUGGAGGAACACCAGUGGCGAAGGCGACUUUCUGGUCUGUAACUGACGCUGAUGUGCGAAAGCGUGGGGAUCAAACAGGAUUAGAUACCCUGGUAGUCCACGCCGUAAACGAUGAGUGCUAAGUGUUAGGGGGUUUCCGCCCCUUAGUGCUGCAGCUAACGCAUUAAGCACUCCGCCUGGGGAGUACGACCGCAAGGUUGAAACUCAAAGGAAUUGACGGGGACCCGCACAAGCGGUGGAGCAUGUGGUUUAAUUCGAAGCAACGCGAAGAACCUUACCAAAUCUUGACAUCCUUUGACAACUCUAGAGAUAGAGCCUUCCCCUUCGGGGGACAAAGUGACAGGUGGUGCAUGGUUGUCGUCAGCUCGUGUCGUGAGAUGUUGGGUUAAGUCCCGCAACGAGCGCAACCCUUAAGCUUAGUUGCCAUCAUUAAGUUGGGCACUCUAAGUUGACUGCCGGUGACAAACCGGAGGAAGGUGGGGAUGACGUCAAAUCAUCAUGCCCCUUAUGAUUUGGGCUACACACGUGCUACAAUGGACAAUACAAAGGGCAGCGAAACCGCGAGGUCAAGCAAAUCCCAUAAAGUUGUUCUCAGUUCGGAUUGUAGUCUGCAACUCGACUACAUGAAGCUGGAAUCGCUAGUAAUCGUAGAUCAGCAUGCUACGGUGAAUACGUUCCCGGGUCUUGUACACACCGCCCGUCACACCACGAGAGUUUGUAACACCCGAAGCCGGUGGAGUAACCUUUUAGGAGCUAGCCGUCGAAGGUGGGACAAAUGAUUGGGGUGAAGUCGUAACAAGGUAGCCGUAUCGGAAGGUGCGGCUGGAUCACCU
rnacentral:rRNA from 2 species